CAUUGUCUGUGAUGGCAUAGUAUAAUAUAGCUGGAGCCAACACUGCCCAGAAUUUUGUAACCUUAUUUGGGAGCAGGAGAGAAAAGUCUGAUAGUGUUAGGUUCCCAUCUGCAGAAGCCACCUUGUCGUUGGUAGAUGGGCCCAACAUAAUUUUGAUCAAAAACAUGCGCAAAGACCUUACGAUAUUUUUCAUGAAUAAGGAAUAUAGCAGAAAUGGAAUUUCGGAUUAACCCAUGUUUCCAAUGGCUGCAUAUGUCUUUGUGCAAGCAACAUUUCACAAAGACUCUAACGUACCUGAGCCUGGGUUUAUGAAACUGGGACUCUUGCAUAGAGCUGCAGAACCAGGAUGGAUUUGCUCAUGCUGCAUUUUCCACAGACUCUAACACAGCUGAGACCUACAGCCAGGGUAUUGCCUCCACCAUGGACUGUUGUUUAUUUUUUGCCCCCCUGCUACAUUGUUGUAGCCUAGGUCUUGUAUAUGUAUGUAUAGACACUUAUGCCCUAGUUUUUUCUCUCUACAGGGAGGAAGUCAGCUCAAUCUUUGUCUUUGUGAAUUUGUUGCCAGGCUACCAGAAAGGAUCCCGAGCAGAAGCCUAGGACAGCUUGACUUUCAGCAAGUGGGUGUGCAGUACCCCAGACCUGCAGUUCCUCGUAGGACAUAUCCUGGAGGGCCCAGUGUGACGUCUCCAGCAGGCCUGGUACAAACGCCUACAAAUACAGGACAUGAUGGUGACGGAUGGAAAAGCCUGACGUCUGCGAUGAUGGAAAGGUUUCCACCACUUCUACCAGGAAACAGCCCCCAACGUGCUGGGAGUGACCCCCGCCUGCUGCAUCUCCUCACUGCUCUAUGAGAACGUCUCUCACCUCCUGCUGGAAACCAAUAAAGAGAGAAAUUCUACCAUUUCAUACAAUCCCAUUCUACGACCACAGUCCAGAUGUUCUGUAAUAAAGAUGAAUGUGAAACAAGAAUUCUGACAGAAGAGUACUCUACAGUCAUAUUGAAUUGAGC